rnacentral:rRNA from 1 species
UACGUAGGGGGCAAGCGUUGUCCGGAAUCAUUGGGCGUAAAGAGCGUGUAGGCGGCCCGAUAAGUCCGCUGUGAAAGUCCAGGGCUCAACCCUGGGAUGCCGGUGGAUACUGCCGUGACUCGAGUCCGGUAGGGGAGUUCGGAAUUCCCGGUGUAGCGGUGAAAUGCGCAGAUAUCGGGAGGAACACCAGUGGCGAAGGCGGAACUCUGGGCCGGAACUGACGCUGAGGAGCGAAAGCGUGGGGAGCGAACAGG